UUCUCCUCUCUCCUGCCAGACUGACUUACACGUUCUUGAUAAUUUCUCUUCCCCUCAUUUUUUAUACUCUUCUCCCUGCUUCCAAACCCUGUGUCUGUGUGUUUCAAUACUAUCACAACCUCUGCUAAAAAUAGAUCUUUUUAUACCCUUCCUCCUCUCUGACCCCAUCCAACACCCCUUGUUAAGGUAACUACCUUACACCCUGAACAAGAAAAGUAAAUUCACUUGGCUGUCCCAUAUCUCUAAGGAACCUGAUGCAUGAGUGGACUAGAGAAGAGACAGAGAGAAAAACUCCAAAGACCUACAGAUUAUCUGGCUGGCAGGGUCAAGUUUUCUUUGGAUUGAGGUGGAACUGUAGCUCAUGGACAUCUGAUGUGAUAG